rnacentral:rRNA from 1 species
UACGGAGGGUGCAAACGUUGCUCGGAAUCACUGGGCGUAAAGCGCACGUAGGCGGCUCGAAAAGUCGGAUGUGAAAGCCCUGGGCUCAACCUAGGAAGUGCAUUCGAAACUGCCGAGCUUGAGUACGGGAGAGGGUUGCGGAAUUCCAGGUGUAGCGGUGAAAUGCGUAGAUAUCUGGAGGAACACCGGUGGCGAAGGCGACAUCCUGGACCGGUAUUGACGCUGAGGCGCGAAAGCGUGGGGAGCAAACAGG